UAAAAAAACUGGAAACUACGACAAAGCUAUAGAGUUUUACGAAAAAGCUAAGAAUAUUCGCAAAAAAAACGUUAGGAACUAGUCAGGUUGAUGUCGUUAAGGCUUUUAAACAAUCUAGGUGUGUUGUAUUAUGAAACUCGGGAAUAUGACAAAGCUUUACAGUCACACUUUGGUAGCUACGUGUUUCAAAGAAAAUUGUACCUUCUAAAUUAUGUUAAGCCUAUUUUUAACACAUAGACCGUAGGAGCAAGGCUUCCACCUGCCAAGUCAACUCCCCUCUCCCUCAGAAGGUAUUUUUGGUAGUGAAUAAAACGUUUGCAAUUUGCAUUUUGUGAGGUAAAAUGAACCUAAAGAUGUAAUGAUCCUUGUCUAUAUAUAGUUUCACUGAUAUCUAGUCAAUAAACUUACUCUACAGCCAGGAAUCAUCCUAAGUAGAACUUAGAACUGCCCAUGCCCUGAAUCUGACAUUCUUCUUUAGACUUUAUUUCUAAAGUAAUUUGCUUUUAUGUUAUAACCAAGUAGUAAUUUUUAUUGUAUGAUUUACAAACAUACUAAAGUAUAUUGCGAUGACAGAAUUUUGUUAAAUACAUACUAUUCUGUUAGUUGUUCAUAUUCUUUGAUACAUUCAGGAAUUUUUUACCCAGCUCCUUAAGCCUAUGACCAUAUUCCAGGUUCCUAUAAUUUCCAAGGGUUACACCUUUCAUACCAUACAUACCACCCCACCAUGCUGCAGCCAAUAUUCCUGUGCUGUCAUUAUCUCCACCAUGAAACAUAGAACAAGAGCACAAUUGAAGCCAGGAAUCUUUUGCCAUCAUCAAAGCAUCGUAAGCAAUCAUUGGUGCAUCAUGACCACUGGACCUACCCCAACCUGCAUAACUGACAGAUUUAUAAAAAGCAUCACGUUCAGGUCACUUACAUUAUGAUGACCAUAUUUACAUAAUAGCUGCAUUUUGAUAUGGAUCAUGGAUUCAAUGGCUGUAGUAGUGACGAUAUUAAAGCAAAACAGCAAUGGCAAUUCAAACAGUUUUUAGAAGACUGAAAUUUGGAAAUGUGAUAAA